UGGGGAAUAUUGGACAAUGGAGGGAACUCUGAUCCAGCGAUGCCGCGUGAGUGAAGAAGGUCUUAGGAUUGUAAAGCUCUUUUGAUGGGGAAGAUAAUGACGGUACCCAUAGAAUAAGCACCGGCUAACUCUGUGCCAGCAGCCGCGGUAAUACAGAGGGUGCAAGCGUUGUUCGGAAUUACUGGGCGUAAAGGGCGUGUAGGCGGUCAGAAAAGUUAGAUGUUAAAGACCUGGGCUUAACCCGGGGGAUGCGUUUAAAACUUUCAGACUAGAGUGCAGGAGGGGAGAAUGGAAUUUCCGGUGUAGAGGUAAAAUUCGUAGAUAUCGGAAGGAACACCAGUGGCGAAGGCGAUUCUCUGGACUGCAACUGACGCUGAGGCGCGAAAGCGUGGGGAGCGAACAGG
rnacentral:rRNA from 1 species